AUAAAACUUAUCUCACAUUACCAAGUGUGGGUUUUAAAUUUUGCUGCAUUUGAAUAAUUGAAAAUUAUCAAUGCAGUGUUGACUGAGUUUAGUAAAGAUACUUGAUAAUUUGUAUACGUCAGCAGCGUUGACUUACAUAAUUGCUUUGAGGAACUAAGGACAACUUUAUUUUUCAAUGAUACCGGUAAAACUACAUCGUAAACGGACUCAAAUGUUUUUGAGAGAUUGGACAAUAGGAACAGUUUAUGUAUAAAAUUCUUGCGUUUGAAGUCAAUGAAUACUGUUGUCAUUUAUCUUGGAAUCAAGACAGACCACGUGGUAUCGUUUCUACAACUGUACAUAAAAAUCAAUAAAAUUAAUUUAUAACAUUUA